CGGUUCUCCACCCCGGUCCUCAAGCAAGAAACCUCAGUGUCGUCCUUGACCUCUGUCCCACGCCCGGCACCCUCAGGAUAAACCGCACUUCCUGUCCUCUCUCCUGGGCUCUCGCUCCCGCCUCCUCCCUCCUUCCCACGGCCACAGCUCCAGGAUCGGCCCUGCACCUUGUCACCGCCGAAGGCAUCGUCUCUCUGGGGUGACUUUGACCCCACCUGUCCCAUCUCCGUUAGCAGAAACUCGUGGAGCAUGCGGUGGCCCCAGGGAGCAGGGGGGGCGGCACACCCGUUCCGCAGUGGGCACACGUGGCUGCCCUGUUGGAGGUGGGAGAUGGAGAACGUUGGUGUCGCAGAAAGUUCCGCUGGAGAGUGCUGGCCUGGACGGUCCAUGGCGCGGUCCUCAGGUCCUCAAGUCCGCUGUUCACCCAGCAAGCGUUUGUAGGGCGCCUCGUGUGCAGGCAGGACGUUGGGCCCCCGGCGAGUGAGAGACACCUGCUCCUGGGGGGGGGGUUCCAACCUGGGGGCCCCGGGGCAGGCUCUCCCGGGGACUCUGACCCGCGUAC